GUCUGAGGAAACAAGCAAGACCAGCUGAGGAACUGGUGAGGCAUGGGAGGUUUCCCCUACACCGGCCAGAAGAGGACAUCGGAUCCCCAGGGACCGGAGAUGGCUGUGAGCUACCAUGCAGAUGCCGGGAACUGAAACCAGUCCUCUGGAAGGGCAGCCCUGAUCUUAAGCACCGAACCAGCUUUCCAGCCCCUUCAAGUUCUUAUUUUUAGAGCUCUUCUGCUCUUCAGGAGAAUCUCUUUCCUGUCUUCCUAUACCUCUCCACAGUCUGCAGGAGAUAAAUCUGGGCCAGGUGUGGUGGCACUUAUGGACCAGCUUGCCUCCAUCUUAGGCUUAAAAGCCAUCUUAUAGUAAAGACAAACUAGAUUCAUUCCUGUUUAUGAUCAAACCUCUGUUUCUCAGGGAACCCUGACUACAAACGGUUCUGUAUUGCCUAUUCCUGGAAAUGACAACCAUGCCUUUAGUUGUUAUGACCACUUUGCAACCCUACCUUGUUUCAAAAGGCUGUUAUGACCACCUUAUUAUGCUGCUCCUGUAACCCCUGCCUAUUUGCUCUCCAAAUCCCCCAUUUGGAAACCCCCUACCCCUGAGCUAUAAAAAUCCUUAUCUUGCCCUUG